rnacentral:rRNA from 1 species
UACGGGGGGGGCAAGCGUUGUUCGGAAUUACUGGGCGUAAAGGGCUCGUAGGCGGCCACCUAAGUCAGACGUGAAAUCCCUCGGCUUAACCGGGGAACUGCGUCUGAUACUGGAUGGCUUGAGUUCGGGAGAGGGAUGCGGAAUUCCAGGUGUAGCGGUGAAAUGCGUAGAUAUCGUGAGGAACACCAGAGGCGAAGGCGGCUUCCUGGACAAUUGCUGACGCUCAGGCACGAAGGCGUGGGGAGCAAAAGGG